UUCAGACCUCGACGGUUGUAACUGAUGGACUGGGCUGGGCACUGCUGACGAACCUCACAUUCCUGAGAGAAAAAUCACCCAAACAUCUUCUCCAGCUUUCUAGAAGUCAUUAUGAGGGGACCUGACUGAGGAGACUUAUACAGAAACCCCGGUCCGCAUCACAGCUGUGUUCCUCCAAGAUGGCCACCUCUGAGGAGGAUUAUCAUGGGCCUCAGAGAAGAAAGGGAACCAAAAGGCCAUCAACCACAAAGUGAAAAUAGAUGUUGAAAGCAAGUCUAAAGGUUUGGAAAACUUACGACUACAUUCUCCUGUGAUUACCCAGCCUGAAGGCUGUGUCCUUAUGAGGUCGAGGGCUCCAGAGGUACAUGUGGCCUGUCACCUGGAUCACCUGGUGAAUGUUGUUGGACAGGCCCUGACUCAUUUCAGGGGGCCACCCCAUGAACAGAAGGCACGUAGGAGACGGGCUGAGUAAAGUGUGUAUCUGCCAGUGUGUGGAGCCGAGAGCCACAAGCUUCCAGCUUGGCCGCUGGCCAGGGGGGAUCCGUUGUUGUUAAAAUGUUAACAUUUCAGUGGUGAAUACAAAAGAAAAAUUAGUGCAGAUCAAGUAACAUGGAAGAGAAGAAAGAGCACUCGAUACAGAAGAAGACAACAGGAGGAGAAAGCUCAGACAUUGGCAAAAACCACAUUACCCAAUGGCCAAAGAAAGCCCUGCAGAGGUAGUCCUCUCAGGGCCCUCCGACGGCGGGCUGCAUGGGGAUGCUCCAGCUCCUAAUGGAGGACCGGCCCCCCACCCCAAAACUGGGUUUAACGAACUGUGGAUGGAAACCUUCUCCUGCCCACCGACACAGUGCUGCAUGGAGCCUGCUCACAGAGUACCACCAUCAGAAGAGGGAGUUCAGAUCCUCCUGGGGAGCCCCCCGCCGGGGGAAAGUGGGGCGGAUCUAGUGAGAUGCUCCCCAUCGCCCCUGC